GGGGGUGCUCCGGGGGCACAGGCGGCGGCCACCCCUGUCCCGUCGUAGCUGCGGCGAGGCGCGGGUUGCACAAAUGGCAGUGCCUUCCAAAAACAAGACUCGGAUGAAACUCUUCUUCUGGAAUUUAGCUGAACGAAAACACCUUAGAACACUCGACCUUUUGCUUCACUUUUUUUUUUUUCCUAAGUUUCCAAAGAAAUGCAAGCUUCCCUUCUUCUCUAGGAAGAGGUAGCCAUUGCUCUUCUUUACACUAGACAUUUUUAAUUUGUUCCAUCUGUCAAAAUGGGACUAUGAGAGGUUUUUGGUGCAAAUUCAUUAUCUCUGGCAACAUACAACCUAUAAUAGGAACUGAAAAAGACCGUGGCAAUGGAUGAACAAUAGGGCUUCAGUUCAUCAGCAACAAAAGCGUUGGGGAAAUUGCUUGAAUUUCAGAGCACGUCCUCCUCAGCAGAGAGGGCUGGACUAGACCUUGGCCAACUCCCCCAAAAAACUUGCAGAGCCUCACAUACAACAGUUCACUUUCUACUCCGGGGCAUAGGAAGCAUUGCAGAAAAAAAGGAAAAAUAUAAGGCAAACCCAAGCCAACUUUCUGUGUUUCUCUCCCAUUUUUCUGGAUGGAACAUUUCUAACUCUUUUAGAGUCCUUGGAACAAGAAUAAUACUGUGGAGCUAAGCAGCACUUUUACAUAGGGAUGGCGAGGGGAAAGACGUGAAUUUAUGGAAAAUUGGGAGAGCUUUCUCUGAUCUGAGGGGCCUUGGCCGUGGGGAUCUUUGUUUGUCAUCGUUGGCUCAGCUUUCCCCCUAGAUCUGGGGUCACAUCUUUCCCUGAUAAAGGCGAAGAAAUGAAGACAACUCCUGACAGAGAUGCUUCCUACAGCACACCAUAGUAGUGGGAGUGGAAUAACUGCUGCAUCACCAACACCUGUGAGCAUCACCUGGAAAAGAGUAGUGUAUGGCUAGUGACUUUUCUUCCUGAGGAGAAUGACUGAGAUGUCUGCUUGGAGUUAUUCCUGGAAUUAGACCAGCAUGAGGUCUCCUCUACCAAUCAG